CGGCGGACGGGUGAGUAAUGCGUAGGAUUCUGCCCGGUAGUGGGGGAUAGCGUGCUGGAAACCCCCCCUAAUACCCCAAACUUCCUACGGAAGAAAGCGGAAGAUCUUCGGACUUCUCGCUAUCGUAUGAACCUAUCUCCGAUUAGCUAGUUGGUAACGUAACGGCUUACCUAGGCGACAAUGCGUAGCUGGUCUGAGAGGAUGAUCCGCCACCCAGGGACUGAGACGCGGCCCAAACUCCUACCGGAGGCACCAGUGGGAAAUAUUGGACAAUGGGCGAAAGCCUGAUCCACCCAUGCCGCGAGUGUGAAGAAGGCUUUCGGGUUGUGAAGCACUUUCGUCGACGAAUAAAGCCUGGUGGUUAAUACCCAUCAAGAAGGACAUCUCUCGCAGAACAACCACCUGCUAACUCCUUGCCAGCAACCGCCGUAAUACUGAGGGUGCGAGCGUUCAUCGGAAUUACUGGGCGUAAAGCUCGCGUAAGUGGCUUGGCACGCCGGUUGUGAAAGCCCCGGGCUCAACCUGAUAACGGCAUCCGGAACGGCCAGGCUAAAGUGCAUGAGAGGAAGGUAGAAUUCCCUGUGUAACAGUAAAAUGCAUAUAGAUCUGUAGGAAUACC
rnacentral:rRNA from 1 species